rnacentral:rRNA from 1 species
ACGCUCGACACCUACGAGAGGCAGCAGUGGGGAAUAUUGCACAAUGGGGGAAACCCUGAUGCAGCAACGCCGCGUGAAGGAAGACGGUUUUCGGAUUGUAAACUUCUGUUCUUAGUGAAGAUAGUGACGGUAGCUAAGGAGCAAGCCACGGCUAACUACGUGCCAGUAGCCGCGGUAAUCUGAGCGGGCUGGCAAGGC